rnacentral:tRNA from 1 species
CAGAAGAUAGUUUAAGUUUAAAAUGCCAGUUUUGGGGGCUGGAGUUGGGGGUUAUUGCCCCUCUUUUGA